CGUAGGUGGCAAGCGUUGUCCGGAUUUAUUGGGUUUAAAGGGUGCGUAGGCGGCCCUGUAAGUCAGUGCUGAAAUAUCCCAGCUUAACUGGGAGGGUGGCAUUGAUACUGCGGGGCUAGAGUACAGAUGAGGUAGGCGGAAUUGACGGUGUAGCGGUGAAAUGCUUAGAUAUCGUCAAGAACACCUAUAGCGAAGGCAGCUUACUAGGCUGUAACUGACGCUGAGGCACGAAAGUGUGGGGAUCAAACAGGAUUAGAUACCCUGGUAGUCCACACUGUAAACGUUGAUUACUCGCUGUGUGCGAUAUACAGUACGCGGCCAAGCGAAAGCGCUAAGUAAUCCACCUGGGGAGUAUGCCGGCAACGGUG
rnacentral:rRNA from 1 species